rnacentral:rRNA from 1 species
GAUGAACGCUAGCGAUAGGCUUAACACAUGCAAGUCGAGGGGCAGCACAAGGUAGCUUGCUAUCUGGGUGGCGACCGGCGCACGGGUGCGUAACACGUAUGCAACUUGCCCUAUACAGGAGGAUAACCCGUCGAAAGACGGACUAAUACUGAGUAUGCUCACAACUUGGCAUCAAGUGGUGAGGAAAGAAAUUCGGUAUAGGAUAGGCAUGCGUCCCAUUAGCUUGUUGGUGAGGUAACGGCUCACCAAGGCAACGAUGGGUAGGGGAACUGAGAGGUUUAUCCCCCACACUGGUACUGAGACACGGACCAGACUCCUACGGGAGGCAGCAGUGAGGAAUAUUGGUCAAUGGGCGCGAGCCUGAACCAGCCAAGUCGCGUGAAGGAUGACUGUCUUAUGGAUUGUAAACUUCUUUUAUACGGGAAUAACAAGAGUCACGUGUGACUCCCUGCAUGUACCGUAUGAAUAAGCAUCGGCUAACUCCGUG